UACGAGAGGUCCUAGCGUUAAUCGGAAUCACUGGGCUUAAAGGGUGCGUAGGCGGGCCUGUAAGUGCUUUGUGAAAUCCCAUGGCUCAACCAUGGAAUUGCAGGGCAUACUGCGGGCCUUGAGGAAUCUAGAGGCCGGCGGAACGAUAGGUGGAGCGGUGGAAUGCGUAGAUAUCUAUCGGAACGCCAAAGGUGAAGACAGCCGGCUGGGGAUUUCCUGACGCUGAGGCACGAAAGCGUGGGGAUCAAACAGG
rnacentral:rRNA from 1 species